rnacentral:tRNA from 1 species
GCGAAAUCGGUAGACGCUACGGACUUAAAAUCCGUCGACUUUAUAAGUCGUGAGGGUUCAAGUCCCUCUAUCCCCA